UACCGGCAGCUCAAGUGGUGGCCGCUUUUAUUGGGCCUAAAGCGUUCGUAGCCGGCCUGAUAAGUCUCUGGUGAAAUCCCGCAGCUUAACUGUGGGAAUUGCUGGAGAUACUAUCAGGCUUGAGGCCGGGAGAGGCUGGAGGAACUUCCAGGGUAGGGGUGAAAUCCUAUAAUCCUGGGAGGACCACCUGUGGCGAAGGCGUCCAGCUGGAACGGACCUGACGGUGAGUAACGAAAGCCAGGGGCGCGAACCGG
rnacentral:rRNA from 1 species